ACACGACCGUACCGCAAACCGACACUGGUGCGCGAGAUGAGUAUUCUAAGGCGCUUGAGAGAACUCGGGAGAAGGAACUCGGCAAAUUGACACCGUAACUUCGGAAGAAGGUGUGCCUUUAGUAGGUGAAGGGAUUUACUCCUGGAGCCCAAUGAGGUUGCAAAAAAUCGGUGGCUGCGACUGUUUAUUAAAAACACAGCACUCUGCAAACACGAAAGUGGACGUAUAGGGUGUGACGCCUGCCCGGUGCUGGAAGAUUAAAUGAUGGGGUGCAAGCUCUUGAUUGAAGUCCCAGUAAACGGCGGCCGUAACUAUAACGGUCCUAAGGUAGCGAAAUUCCUUGUCGGGUAAGUUCCGACCUGCACGAAUGGCGUAACGAUGGCCACACUGUCUCCUCCCGAGACUCAGCGAAGUUGAAAUGUUUGUGAUGAUGCAAUCUCCCCGCGGAAAGACGGAAAGACCCCAUGAACCUUUACUGUAGCUUUGUAUUGGACUUUGAACAGAUCUGUGUAGGAUAGGUGGGAGGCUUUGAAGCAGGGUCGCUAGAUCUUGUGGAGCCAACGUUGAAAUACCACCCUGGUGUGUUUGAGGUUCUAACCUAGGUCCAUUAUCUGGAUCGGGGACAGUGCAUGGUAGGCAGUUUGACUGGGGCGGUCUCCUCCCAAAGCGUAACGGAGGAGUUCGAAGGUACGCUAGGUACGGUCGGACAUCGUGCUAAUAGUGCAAUGGCAUAAGCGUGCUUAACUGCGAGACUGACAAGUCGAGCAGAUGCGAAAGCAGGACAUAGUGAUCCGGUGGUUCUGUAUGGAAGGGCCAUCGCUCAACGGAUAAAAGGUACUCUGGGGAUAACAGGCUGAUACCGCCCAAGAGUUCAUAUCGACGGCGGUGUUUGGCACCUCGAUGUCGGCUCAUCUCAUCCUGGGGCUGUAGCCGGUCCCAAGGGUAUGGCUGUUCGCCAUUUAAAGAGGUACGUGAGCUGGGUUUAAAACGUCGUGAGACAGUUUGGUCCCUAUCUUCCGUGGGCGCUGCAGAUUUGAGGAAGCCUGCUCCUAGUACGAGAGGACCGGAGUGGACGCACCUCUGGUGUAUCGGUUGUCACGCCAGUGGCAUUGCCGAGUAGCUAUGUGCGGAAGAGAUAACCGCUGAAAGCAUCUAAGCGGGAAACUCGUUUCAAGAUGAGAUCUGCCGGGGCCUUGAGCCCCCUAAAGAGUCGUUCAAGACCAGGACGUUGAUAGGUCAGGUGUGGAAGCGCAGUAAUGCGUUAAGCUAACUGAUACUAAUUGCUCGUGCGGCUUGACCCU
rnacentral:rRNA from 1 species